rnacentral:rRNA from 1 species
UACGUAGGGUGCAAGCGUUAAUCGGAAUUACUGGGCGUAAAGCGUGCGCAGGCGGUGAUGUAAGACAGUUGUGAAAUCCCCGGGCUCAACCUGGGAACUGCAUCUGUGACUGCAUCGCUGGAGUGCGGCAGAGGGGGAUGGAAUUCCGCGUGUAGCAGUGAAAUGCGUAGAUAUCGAGAGGAACACCAGUGGCGAAGGCGAGUCCCUGGACAACUCCUGACACUGAGGCACGAAAGCUAGGGGAGCAAACAGG